rnacentral:rRNA from 1 species
UACAGCCAUAUCACAUUGAAAUACCAGUUCCCAUACAAUCACCAAAGUUAAGCAACAUUGAGCUUAGUCAGUACUUAGAUGGGUGACUGCUUGGGAAUACCAGUUACUGUAAG